AGAAGGAUAUAAAUAAUGGUUCUAGAAGUCUGAAGACCUGACUAAUCAAAGUUCUGUUUUCACAUCAUGAAAAACAUGAUUCUUUUCUUGACUCUUAUUUUGCUUUUUCAAGUGGCAUUCUACAACUGCCAUGAGCAGAAGUGUUAUUUCAGUGUGAUUUAACAGGAAAAUGGGUAAACGAACUUGGAUCCAACAUGACUAUCUCCAAGACAGACGAUAAAGGACACAUCUUUGGCUCCUACUUCAUUACACUGACAGCAAACAAUGGAGUGGAAAUUAAGGAAUCCCCCCUCUCUGGAAUUAAAGAUGAUUCUCAUCAGCCGAUAUUUGGGUUCCUUGUUAAGUGGACUUUCUCCGAGUCUAUAACAAAUUUUGUUGGCCAGUGCUUUGUUGACAAGAAUGGUGUUGAACGUCUUGAAACCAUGUGGCUUCUCAGAACAAAAGCAGAUUCCAGUGGAGCUAACUGGGAGAAAACCAGGGUUGGCAGUAAUCUGUUUCAUCGGCUGGCUAUAAAGAAAUGAAGCAACGUUCUCGAAAAGGGCUGAAAUAAUUUGUUCUCCCUACUUUGUAAUCUUUGUUUGAAAUUUAAAGGCGGUUAAAUGCAAUGAUCUGUUGACAUUGUCUUUAUCGCGCAUCUCAUUUCAUUUGAUUUUUUUUCCAUUGUUCAUUAAAUUUAAAGCAUGCUGUUUAAAUAAAUACAUUUAAAAUUGUA